rnacentral:rRNA from 1 species
UACGGAGGGUGCGAGCGUUGUCCGGAAUCAUUGGGCGUAAAGGGCGCGUAGGUGGCGGGACAAGCGUGCGGUGAAAGCCUGGGGCUCAACCCCGGGUCGGCCGUGCGAACUGUUUUGCUUGAGCACUGUAGAGGCAGGCGGAAUUCCGGGUGUAGCGGUGGAAUGCGUAGAGAUCCGGAAGAACACCGGUGGCGAAGGCGGCCUGCUGGGCAGUAGCUGACACUGAGGCGCGACGGCGUGGGGAGCAAACAGG